rnacentral:rRNA from 1 species
GACGAACGCUGGCGGCGUGCUUAACACAUGCAAGUCGAACGGAGUGGCGAAAGGGUGAGUAACACGUGGGUGAUCUGCCUUGCACUUCGGGAUAAGCUUGGGAAACUGGGUCUAAUCCCGGAUAGUGAAAGAUUAGCUCGCGGCCUAUCAGCUUGUUGGUGGGGUAAUGGCCUACCAAGGCGUGAACGGGUAGCCGGCCUGAUAGGGUGUCCGGCCACAUUGGGACUGAGAUACGGGCCAGACUCCGACGGGAAGCAGCAGUGGGGAAUAUUGCACAAUGGGCGGAAGUCUGAUGCAGGGACUCCGCGUGGGAGGUGAAGGCCUGCGGGUUGUAAACGCCUUUCGACAGGGAGGCGGUACCUGUAUAAGAAGCACCGGCUGACUACGUGCCAGCAGCCGCGGUAAUAC